ensembl:lncRNA
CAGCCAUCAUGGCAAGAAGACACUCAAGCAGCCCAACAGGCAAGUCCAGGUGCUGAGGAACUGAGGCCCACAGCCGUGGGAGUGACCCCUGGGGAAGGGGAAUUCUCCAGCCCCAGCCAGGCCUUCAGAUGACUGCAGCUCUGGCCAGCUUCACUACAAAUCCCACGAGACUCCUGCAAAAAAAACCAUCCUCUUCCUGUUGAAGGUUCUAGAUUGACGAAUUGGACCAUGUUGCCAGCUGUCCUUUUCUCUCUUCCCUGUUUUUCUGGGCACAAAGCCACUUGAGAAGGUGGAGCGGGGCCGGAGCGCAAGAGACCAGCACAACUCUGCUAAUUUUUUUUGCCUGCAUGUGUCAUGGAGUCUACAAAUAAGAUUGUGAUAUAAUCUGCUUUUCCUUGUGGUCCUAUAUAUAUACAUAUAUUCUAUUCUAUAGAAUAGAACCACAAGCACUGAAGAAUUGAUGCUUUUGAACUGUGCUGUUGGAGAAGACUCUUGACAGUCCCUUGGACUUCACAGAGAUGAAACCAGUCAAUUCUAAAGGAAAUCAACCCUGAAUAUUAAUUGGAAGGACUGUUUUUGAAGCUGAAGCUCCAAUUUUGGCUACCUGAUGGGAAGGGCUGACUCACUGGAAAAGACCCUGUUGCUGGGAAAGAUUGAAGGCAGAAAGAGAAGAGGGCAACAGAGGAUGAGUUGGUUGGAUGGCAUCACUGACUCAAUGAACAUGAAUCUGAGCAAGCUCCAGGAGUUGGUGAUGGAGAGGGAAGCCUGACAUGCUGCAGUCCAUGGGGUUGCAAAGAGUCGCACACGACUUGGUGACUGAACAACAAAUAUAUAGAAUAGAACCAUAUAUAUACAUAUAUAUCCUGUUGAUCUUUUUUAUUUUAUUUUAUUUUUAAACUUUACAAUAUUGUAUUAGUUUUGCCAAAUAUCGAAAUGAAUCCACCACAGGUAUACCUGUGUUCCCCAUCCUGAACCCUCCUCCCUCCUCCCUCCCCAUACCCUCCCUCUGGGUCGUCCCAGUGCACCAGCCCCAAGCAUCCAGUAUCGUGCAUCAAACCUGGACUGGCGACUCAUUUCAUACAUGAUAUUAUACAUGUUUCAAUGCCAUUCUCCCAAAUCUCCCCACCCUCUCCCUCUCCCACAGAGUCCAUAAGACUGAUCUAUAUAUCAGUGUCUCUUUUGCUGUCUCGUACACAGGGUUAUUGUUACCAUCUUUCUAAAUUCCAUAUAUAUGUGUUAGUAUACUGUAUUGGUGUUUUUCUUUCUGGCUUACUUCACUCUGUAUAAUAGGUUCCAGUUUCAUCCAUCUCAUUAGAACUGAUUCAAAUGUAUUCUUUUUAAUGGCUGAGUAAUACUCCAUUGUGUAUAUGUACCACAGUUUUCUUAUCCAUUCAUCUGCUGAUGGGCAUCUAGGUUGCUUCCAUGUCCUGGC